AUUGAACGCUGGCGGAAUGCUUUACACAUGCAAGUCGAACGGCAGCACGGGGGCAGCCCUGGUGGCGAGUGGCGAACGGGUGAGUAAUACAUCGGAACGUGCCCGGUCGUGGGGGAUAACGUAGCGAAAGUUACGCUAAUACCGCAUACGAUCUGAGGAUGAAAGCGGGGGACCUUCGGGCCUCGCGCGAUCGGAGCGGCCGAUGUCAGAUUAGGUAGUUGGUGGGGUAAGGCCUACCAAGCCGACGAUCUGUAGCUGGUCUGAGAGGACGACCAGCCACACUGGGACUGAGACACGGCCCAGACUCCUACGGGAGGCAGCAGUGGGGAAUUUUGGACAAUGGGCGCAAGCCUGAUCCAGCCAUUCCGCGUGCAGGACGAAGGCCUUCGGGUUGUAAACUGCUUUUGUACGGAACGAAAAGGCUCUGGCUAAUACCUGGGGCUCAUGACGGUACCGUAAGAAUAAGCACCGGCUAACUACGU
rnacentral:rRNA from 1 species